GCACAAGCGGUGGAUGAUGUGGAUUAAUUCGAUGCAACGCGAAAACCUUACCUACCCUUGACAUGUCUGGAACUUGUGAGAGAUCACUUGGUGCCUUCGGGAGCCAGAACACAGGUGCUGCAUGGCUGUCGUCAGCUCGUGUCGUGAGAUGUUGGGUUAAGUCCCGCAACGAGCGCAACCCUUGCCAUUAAUUGCCAUCAUUUAGUUGGGCACUUUAAUGGGACUGCCGGUGACAAACCGGAGGAAGGUGGGGAUGACGUCAAGUCCUCAUGGCCCUUAUGGGUAGGGCUUCACACGUCAUACAAUGGUCGGUACAGAGGGUUGCCAAGCCGCGAGGUGGAGCUAAUCUCUUAAAGCCGAUCGUAGUCCGGAUCGUAGUCUGCAACUCGACUACGUGAAGUCGGAAUCGCUAGUAAUCGCGGAUCAGCAUGUCGCGGUGAAUACGUUCCCGGGUCUU
rnacentral:rRNA from 1 species